UACGGAGGAUCCAAGCGUUGUCCGGAUUUAUUGGGUUUAAAGGGUGCGUAGGCGGAUAAUUAAGUCAGUGGUGAAAUCUUGCGGCUCAACCGUAAAAAUUGCCAUUGAAACUGAUUAUCUUGAGUACAGUUGAGGUGGGCGGAAUGUAUCAUGUAGCGGUGAAAUGCUUAGAUAUGAUACAGAACACCUAUUGCGAAAGCAGCUCACUAAACUGCAACUGACGCUGAGGCACGAAAGCGUGGGGAUCAAACAGG
rnacentral:rRNA from 1 species